UACGGAGGAUGCAAGCGUUAUCCGGAAUCAUUGGGCGUAAAGCGUCCGUAGGUGGCUUUUCAAGUCUGCCGUCAAAGACCGGGGCUUAACCCCAGAAAGGCGGUGGAAACUGAAUAGCUAGAGUGCGGUAGGGGUAGAGGGAAUUCCUGGUGUAGCGGUGGAAUGCGCAGAUAUCAGGAGGAACACCGGUGGCGAAGGCGGGCCUCUGGGCAGUAACUGACGCUGAGGAGCGAAAGCGUGGGGAGCGAACAGG
rnacentral:rRNA from 1 species